UACGUAGGGUGCAAGCGUUGUCCGGAAUUAUUGGGCGUAAAGAGCUCGUAGGCGGUUUGUCGCGUCUGCUGUGAAAACUGGAGGCUCAACCUCCAGCCUGCAGUGGGUACGGGCAAACUAGAGUGCGGUAGGGGAGAUUGGAAUUCCUGGUGUAGCGGUGGAAUGCGCAGAUAUCAGGAGGAACACCGGUGGCGAAGGCGGGUCUCUGGGCCGUAACUGACGCUGAGGAGCGAAAGCGUGGGGAGCGAACAGG
rnacentral:rRNA from 1 species